rnacentral:sRNA from 1 species
GCUGGGUGUGGUGGUGCACACCUGUAAUUCCAUCAGCUCUGGAGGCUGAGAAAGGAGGAUCCCAAGUUCCAGGUCAGCCUCAGCAACUUAGUGAGGCCCUAAGCAACUUAAGUGAGACCCUGUUUCAA